rfam:Drosophila pseudoobscura pseudoobscura strain MV2-25 chromosome 4 unlocalized genomic scaffold Ch4_group1, whole genome shotgun sequence.
AGCUUCCUUAAGUAGUAUCCAUUAAGAGGUCGUCAUCUAGCUAAAAUCGACCUUUUGAUGUACUACUUUAAAAAAGCA